rnacentral:rRNA from 1 species
UACGGGGGGGGCAAGCGUUGUUCGGAAUUACUGGGCGUAAAGGGCUCGUAGGUGGCCAAGUAAGUCAGACGUGAAAUCCCUCAGCUUAACUGGGGAACUGCGUCUGAUACUGGAUGGCUUGAGUUUGGGAGAGGGAUGCGGAAUUCCAGGUGUAGCGGUGAAAUGCGUAGAUAUCUGGAGGAACACCGGUGGCGAAGGCGGGAUCCUGGACCGAUACUGACACUGAGGAGCGAAAGCCAGGGGAGCAAACGGG